CAGCGGUAUAGAGCUAUCUGUGGGGGCCUGUGUAAAUGUCAAGGGCAGUGUAUGAAAGGUUGACUACUACUACCAGAGUAGAUAGAAAGCCAAUAAAUCAUGUAUAAGUAAAACCAAUAACUAAAAACAAGAACAAAGCAUUAACAUGUUAUAACUGUGCCACUAUGGAUAGCUGCCAUUGAGGAAACUGUGAGUUGAGUUAGGC